GCACUUGUAAAUGAAGUUUUGCGGUCACAUGGCUGCAUUCUUGUACGGCUCCAUGAAGUAGUUUUUUCACAUUACUGAGAUUUAUACGUUUGUGUUUGCAUAUUGCAGGUGUUUCCAUAAAAGCUAAGGAUAGCCACAUUAAGGAAGAUGGCCUGAAAAAAAAAAAAAAAAAAAAAAAAAAAAAGAACACACGAAAAUUUUACUGAGCACACCUAAAAGCACAGCCCUGGGGCAAAAGUGUGAAGUCAUUGCAGAAACAAGGGAGUUGCAGACAGGAGGACGCCCGUACAAAUCCUGUCCCUGGCAAAGGACAAAGCAGGGGCAGGCGGGGGCAGAGGCUGCACGCCCAGAGGUGCCACCCUGCUUUUUUGGAGCCUUCUGCCUUUUCGGAGGCUCGUUAGGGAACGAAAAUCUUCCAUUUCCUGCUGCCACAGACAAGGCUGGGUGCUGGCCCAAAUGUGGGUCAAGACUGACACCCUGUGGACAACUUACUCUUUUUCCCAUGUCCUCCAGGAUUUUCUCUCCUGCUGCUUUCUUUUUUCCUAUUUAUUUAUUUAUUUAUUUAUUCCUCCUUCCCCUUUGCCCCCUCCACCCCACCCCCGGUUUGCCUGCACAAACGUUGCAAGCACCCAGUUUGCACAGGGGCUGUUGCUGCAAGCUCAGCCAGCCCAGGCGGUGUGCCGGGAGCAGCAUUUCUCACCCCUAAAAAGUGAGGGGCUGUAGAAAGAGCCCCAAAUCCCCCUUCUGGUCCUUUUUGGUUUGUCCCCGGCUUGCACUUGGUUUCAUUGGUAUCUGUCAGGGCCCGGCCGUCACUCCUGACCCCCAUCGGUGCCUCUGCUUUCCCUCUGCUUUUCAGCUCACCCCAGCUCUUCUGUCGUGCAGCUCAUCAGCUGGAGCACAGUGAGCUCCUGGGGCUCAUAAAUCUAGCUGCUGCUCGCAAAAUUUGGCAAGUAUGACCCGAGGCUGUCUGUUAAACGGGGAGAAAAAUUGCACGGGCUUCCCUGCAGUCACCCCCCUGCCCUCCCCAAGCUGCCCUGGGUGAGGAUUCCUGCCUGAACACAAGAACUCAU